GGCCAAAACGUCGAGUGUUAGUGAUAGAGUAUUCUAUCACCCGUAAAGUUAGAUGACAGAUGCCAGCUGAUGUUAAAUAUAUUCCUGGGGCCAGGGCACCCAGCAGUGCCUCUCAAAUUAGGGUGCUGACGUUGCAUAAGGGCAGACAGAAUCAAGAACAU